rnacentral:misc_RNA from 1 species
UGGACUCUGUCGUGUUACUACGACUGGUCUGAAAUGCCUGAGUGCACCCUGCUGUUGCAGCGUCUUCAGUGUGAUAAACAUCUUCACUGGAAAAAGUUCCUUCGGGACACGUAGCAUUGUAGGCUCUGUGCUGACCAACCGUCUUUGGACAGCUUUGACAAUUUGACCUCAAAUCGGGUGGGACUACCCGCUGAACUUAA